AAAAUAAUUCCUGCACCGGGAUUGGUGGAAAGGACAGAAUCGAUUGAUUCGGUAAUGUGUGAAAGAAGGGCUUUAUCGUCACUUCCAGGUGGAUGGUACACGAUUCCCAAUACAAUUGAAUUUAAACCACGAGGCAAGCGGUGAGGUUUUAAGAGUAACCAAAGCGACUCAUAUUCGUGACUUUCAAUCUCUUUAAGAUGAAUGAAUGAACGGAAGCAUGUCCUUUACAAAGACACAGACUCCACCUCCUCGUCUGCCGUCGGAACGAUCAUGCCUCAGUAAGGAAUAACCGCAUAAAUCUAUUGCUGAAUUAGGAACAUUUGAAGAAAGCCACGUUUCGGUAACAACGAC